GUGGGGAAUAUUGCACAAUGGGCGAAAGCCUGAUGCAGCAACGCCGCGUGAGGGACGACGGCCUUCGGGUUGUAAACCUCUUUUAGUAGGGAAGAAGCGAAAGUGACGGUACCUGCAGAAAAAGCACCGGCUAACUACGUGCCAGCAGCCGCGGUAAUACGUAGGGUGCAAGCGUUAUCCGGAAUUAUUGGGCGUAAAGAGCUCGUAGGCGGUUUGUCGCGUCUGCUGUGAAAACCCGAGGCUCAACCUCGGGCCUGCAGUGGGUACGGGCAGACUAGAGUGCGGUAGGGGAGAUUGGAAUUCCUGGUGUAGCGGUGGAAUGCGCAGAUAUCAGGAGGAACACCGAUGGCGAAGGCAGAUCUCUGGGCCGUAACUGACGCUGAGGAGCGAAAGCGUGGGGAGCGAACAGGAUUAGAAACCCUAGUAGUCC
rnacentral:rRNA from 1 species